AAAACACCUAGUUAAUUUUGAAUCUCAGGUAAACAAUGAAUAAUUUUCUAGUUUAAAUAUGUUCCAUAUUUUCUUUGGGAUAUACUUAUGCUAAAAAAAUUAUUCAUUGUUCAUCUGAAAUUCAGAUUAACUGGGCAUCCUGUA
rnacentral:miRNA from 10 species